rnacentral:rRNA from 1 species
UACGUAUGGUGCAAGCGUUAUCCGGAUUUACUGGGUGUAAAGGGAGCGCAGGCGGCGCGUUAAGCCUGGUGUGAAAGCCCGCGGCCCAACCGCGGGACUGCAUUGGGAACUGGCGCGCUGGAGUACAGGAGGGGCAGGCGGAAUUCCUGGUGUAGCGGUGAAAUGCGUAGAUAUCAGGAGGAACACCGGCGGCGAAGGCGGCCUGCUGGACUGAAACUGACGUUGAGGCUCGAAAGCGUGGGGAGCAAACAGG